rnacentral:rRNA from 1 species
UGCCAGACUCCUACGGGAGGCAGCAGUGGGGAAUAUUGCACAAUGGGGGAAACCCUGAUGCAGCGACGCCGCGUGAGCGAUGAAGUAUUUCGGUAUGUAAAGCUCUAUCAGCAGGGAAGAAGAUGACGGUACCUGACUAAGAAGCCCCGGCUAACUACGUGCCAGCAGCCGCGGUAAUACGUAGGGGGCAAGCGUUAUCCGGAUUUAUUGGGUUUAAAGGGUGCGCAGGCGGAAUGUCAAGUCAGCGGUAAAAUUUCGGGGCUCAACCCCGUCGUGCCGUUGAAACUGGCGUUCUUGAGUGAGCGAGAAGUAUGCGGAAUGCGUGGUGUAGCGGUGAAAUGCAUAGAUAUCGCGCAGAACUCCGAUUGCGAAGGCAGCAUGCCGGCUCCACACUGACGCUGAGGCACGAAAGCGUGGGUAUCGAACAGGAUUAGAUACCCCAGUAUAG